rfam:Stegodyphus mimosarum contig87614, whole genome shotgun sequence.
UCAGAGGUUUUUCUUAAAACCAAAUAAGAUUUACUAAAAUGUAUAG